rnacentral:rRNA from 1 species
AGUGAACGCUGGCGGCGUGCCUAACACAUGCAAGUCGAACGGGCUAGUGCUUCGCACUAGUCUCUUUCUGGGGUUGUUACUCUAAGGCUACCUGCUAAAGUUAUUGCUUUAAAGCAGGGGUUUUAGGAGACUUUCCCCGAAAGGGGCCAGUGCGGAGCACUGGCCAGUGGCGAACGGGUGAGUAACACGUGGGUAAUCUACCCUCGAGUGGGGAAUAAGCUUCCGAAAGGGGGUCUAAUGCCGCAUAACGUUUCAUAACGAUGGUUAUGAAACCAAAGCCCAAAAGGCGCUCGAGGAGGAGCCUGCGUCCUAUCAGCUUGUUGGCAGGGUAAUGGCCUACCAAGGCUAUGACGGGUAGCCGGCCUGAGAGGGUGUCCGGCCACACUGGAACUGAGACACGGUCCAGACUCCUACGGAAGGCAGCAGUGGGGAAUAUUGGGCAAUGGGGGCAACCUGACCCAGCGACGCCGCGUGAGGGACGAAGUCCUUCGGGAGUGUAAACCGUACUCGUUGUGGGGUAGGAAGGCG